GUGGUGUAGGGGUACUGUUGUGAUAUUGGGUUUGUCACAUGCUUCUUAAUCCUCUAUACAACCCACUGUUAUUAGUUUUUUUUUUCCCGUUUUUUCUUCUCACUCAAAAGAGGGAUAUAUCUACCAUUCUUUCCAUCAUGUUGCUACCAGGAUUUGACUCGAGAGAAGGAAGGCGAUUCUGGGUUAUUGAGACUUCAGUCAAUCACUGUUUGAGCUUUUACCUCUCGCUCCUCUUGGUCCAGGCUUCUCUCAUAAAGCAGGGAUAUGACUUGGGAUGCGAUUCCAAUGAUUCAAUUAAGGGUGUAUUGUUGGAGAAUUCUUUGUGCAGACUACAUUAAGUUGAUCAAAUGCAUGAUUUCCUUGAAUUGAAGGAACUGUUCAUUUUUUUGUGAAUGAAGUACUUUUCAAUAUAACAGUGUCACUGGGAUUUUUUAAUGAUAUUUAUAUGCCUAUUCAUCGUUUUCCUACAACAUUCUUCAAGAACUGCGGCUUGAGAAAACGGUAGCUUCUAGAGGCUUUGCAUUAGGUAUAUCAAAGUUAUCUGGGUUAGCUGAGAAUUGAAAGAAGCUAUCAAUAUUUCCAAUGUAUUUUCAUAGCUUAUGCAAGACCAUAUCCAAUGAUGAAGCCGUACGUUUACAAAUUUCGGGUAUUGGUGUUACCAGAUUCUGUGGGCAGGUUUUUAUUGAAAGUGUCGGCCUAUUGCUUGCUUUCCUGAGGGUGUAUCACCAUGACUUAAUUACAAAUUCUAUCUUUGAGUCACCCCUCAAGAGGAAUGGAUAUGUGCCAUCAAGAUAGUAGCAAUUUGGCAUUUUUGAGCUGGAGAAAAAAACAUAUGAGGCCUCACUAAUAGCCAGUGUUCAUUAAAUGGAAUGGCUUCUGGACCAUUAUGGCUUUUGCUAUUGUGCUACAAUUCACUGUAGGAACGCAACAUUGAAGGUCUUACUUACCAGCAAAUCUUCCAAGCCACUAUCAUUAUGGUCACCAAAUUUUGAUUUGCAUAACAUGAUUUCUUCCCAUUUCCUGGAGAAACAAGGAAAUGUCUUGAAUUUUUGAGUGUGGAACAAACACCCAUAGCCAAUGAGAGACCUAUCAUUU